GGAGACUUCAAUCUUGAUGUCACAGUGCGACCUACCGAUUGACAGGUGGAAUUUGGAGUGCAGCUCUUGAAGAGAAACCUUUCAAGCAGCAACCCAAGGGAUCCUUGCCAUCCCUGGAGCAGCGGCAGCAGAGGUGCGCGGGGUACCCGCCAGGGAAACGGAGCCUCCCUGCCCAGAAAGGCCUCGGCUGCGGCGCCGCAUGGAGCGGAGCCGUGGCCAGGCCGGCACGGAGAUGUCUCUCUCGCACCUGUCUGCAGAAGCAGCGCCACACGGCCCGGGCCCGCUCCCGCUCCCACUCCCCGCCCGUGUCCGCCAGAGGGGGCCCGGACCCCGCGGUUCUCCGGCUCCUGAGGCGAAGGCCAUUUGGCAACAGAGCAGCAGCUUUCCCUUAAUUUCUGUUUUUUGACCGCGGAUGUUUCCCAUGACUACAAAAGCAUAGCACUCAAAGGCUCUGAUUUGCCUCCCAGGCAGGAACCAGGACAGUCUCAAAGCAGGUAAAAAAUGAAUACGUGGGCACAAACACUCUUACUUCUUCCACACACAGAGGCCUGUGGAAGUGAGUCUCUCUUUAAAAUCAUCUGGUAUUUUAUGCAAUUAAGGUAAUACUUGUUUGUGUCAUGAGUUAUGUACAUCUGUUGGAAUGUAUAUAUUCCUCACUGCUAGAUACCUCUGUAUUUUAUGGUUAAAUCCUUACAUUUUGGAUUUCAAUAGUGUGUUAAGUGAGUGCUGAACUUCAAUAUUAGAACUUCUGAAAAUCCUCCUGUAUGUGGUAUAUUGCUUUUGAAAUAUGCUGUUGCUUGUUUACCCACCAAGUGUGGGUAAACAUCUAAAACAUUGCAUGUCUGUAGAGCUCCACAUCAGACCAAGGGAAGGGAAUCUAAAGUAAUAUUCAAGUUACAAAGCUGUUCAGCACUGUCUGUUUAAAACAGGGACCUGUUCAACUUUGUUACAUAAUGAGAGUUGUCAUGGGGUUGUUACUUUUGCACCUCCAUCAAAGUCCUCAGAUUCAAGGAGAAGAAUUAGCAUUUUUACAGUCUGAAGUUGAGCUUAAAAAUAGAAGUAGAGUUUAAUUUUCUGUCAUGCUGAUGAAAUGGUUACAUUCUCCAAAAUUAUGCCAAUCUAAAUCGUGAGCCAAAUUAAAUGAAGGAAUGCUUUUUAUAGCCAGAAGAUUGGAGCUUGUAAGAAAUACAAAUAUUUGUUGCCUGCUGUGCUUGCACUUUCCCACCAUGAUGCAAGAAAGCUCUAAACCCCGAUGUCCACAACUUAUCAAUUAUCAUUCUUCACUGGGUGAAAAUUAAGCAGUGCUUAAAAAGCAAAACAUUAUAGAUCUUAAACCCCUCCCCCCAGCUACUACAAAGUCAUCAUAAUUAAUUUUUUUUUGGUUGCACCAGGAAAGCAAAUUGGCAAUUUCUACAUGUUCUUCUUCACAAAGAUAUAAUUUCAGCAAAAUCUUUUAUUAUUAAUUAUGUUUUUGCAUCUUCCAGUUUGGCAUUAGCAUUUAAUUCUGAAUACAUCAAGAUAAAGUGUUAGGUGUUUACAGUGGUGAUUUCUUUCUCCACUCCAGCCAUCUCUUUAGAGGAGGAGGAUUUCUCUCUACAGACAAGGCACUUCACACCUAAAAUGCUCUUCAAAGAGAACAUUCAAUGGUCUUUGCAUUAGGUCUUCAGGCCUCAAUGCAUUUUAAAAAACUAUUUUGGUAACACCUUAUGGACAAUUUCAAUACCUGACUCAGGCCACAGCAAAGUGACAACAGCAGGUGCUUCAUUCCAUUCCCUCUCCCUCGCUGCUUGUUUCUGCCACUCUUAACUUCAGUUUCUUUAGUUAAAUCUGUUCCCUGACCUGGUUCAUCUCACAGAGGAGUAGUGAAAAUCUUUAAGGUGAGGUACUCUAUGUCAUAUUGUUCUAUGACACCACUUGUUCUGUGUCAAGUGGUCAUUUCCAGGCUAAGUUCUGGUGCCUAUAUGAACUGUGUAAGUGAUCUUGGCUUCAAAAUGUAAAUAAACGUGUCUGAAGAUUUUUCUGUAUGCAUGCCGAAAUGCACAUUUAGGUUGGGUAAUAGCAUUUGCCAGAAUACAGGUUAAAGUUGCUGAAUAGACAUGUUCUGAAAUUUUUAUGGGCACAGUUUCUACCACUAGAAGUUCUUGAAAAUCUGCUUACAUAGUUUCAGCUCUGCUAUUGUGUUUGGCCAUGCAACACCAGCAAUGAGAAUACUACAACAAAAAGCAUAUGGUCUUAGACAGAAGCAUCCCGUGAGAAGGAACAUUUCUGUCCUUGAUUCACCAUGGAAAUUACACCACUGUAGAUGUAAGACUACGAGGUCAAACUUCAUGCUUGUUAAAGGUACCAUGUCAACAGAAUUUUAAUGAAAAUGGACAAGAAGUUUCUCAGAGACCCAGUACCCUUCCCUGAAGAGGACCAGCAUGGCAGAUAUUUGGUGUUCAGCAGGUGAAAGCAAGCAAGCAGAAAAAGCUGCUCUGUCCUGAGUGAAAAGGCCACUAAUGUCCAGCAAAUCCCACCUUCUUGGUUCCUGAGGCAGAGGAGCAGAAAUAGUUCUGUCUCAGUUACUAAUUGCCUAUUUGCUAUCUGCA